rnacentral:lncRNA from 1 species
UUUGGCGGGACAUAACUUGGACUACGGAUCUCCGUUUUGUACCAAAUCUGUUUAGAAAUGAAAUUGGAUCCGGGAUGUCCAUGCCGUUCGAAGAACGAGUGAAAAACGAUUUAAAAUGAGGAAGUUAUGUCCGUCGGAAGAUUGGGGUUUGAAUCUGUAAAUUCUGCAGCUUUUAACUUAGAAAAUUUUUAGCAGAAUGACCCCUCGCGCAUAGGCGCACUUGGUGCGUACGCGCCGUUCUUCGAGAAAGCGCCAUCCACGCGUGCGCGUGGAGUGCGCGUACGCGUGGACCUGUUUUCAUCCCAAAGUUGAUUUUUGAGUUUUAAAAGCCAAAUUUCAUACUUCUAAGCCUCCGAUCUCACCACUUAUGUCUUAAAUCAUUAUGAUAUGCCUAGCAUGAGAAAAAGGGCUAGUGAAUGUGGUAACUUACGAGUGAAGCAAGGGAAAAAUGAAUGAUCAAUGAGGAUCAAGAUGAUUAUGUGAGAUGCGGAGGAUGGUGGUGGAAGUGCUUGUUAAGCCAUGGGCCGAAAGGCUAUAAUUGCUAAUGAAACGGCUGGUUAUGGAUUUAACCGUGAGCCGGA